rnacentral:rRNA from 1 species
UGGGGAAUAUUGCACAAUGGGCGAAAGCCUGAUCCAGCAAUGCCGCGUGUGUGAAGAAGGCCUUCGGGUUGUAAAGCACUUUUGUCCGGAAAGAAAUCCGCCUGGCUAAUACCCGGGCGGGAUGACGGUACCGGAAGAAUAAGCACCGGCUAACUACGUGCCAGCAGCCGCGGUAAUACGUAGGGUGCGAGCGUUAAUCGGAAUUACUGGGCGUAAAGCGUGCGCAGGCGGUUAUGCAAGACAGGUGUGAAAUCCCCGGGCUCAACCUGGGAACUGCGCUUGUGACUGCAUGACUAGAGUGCGUCAGAGGGAGGUGGAAUUCCGCGUGUAGCAGUGAAAUGCGUAGAGAUGCGGAGGAACACCGAUGGCGAAGGCAGCCUCCUGGGAUGACACUGACGCUCAUGCACGAAAGCGUGGGGAGCAAACA